AUUGGUGCAUAUAUCAAUAAUUAAUUUCCUUUUAUUGCUGAGUAGUAUUUACUAUAUGGAUGUACCACAUUUUGUUUAUCCUUUCAACUGUUGCUGGACAUUUGGGUUGUUUCCAGUUUUGAGCUAUAUAAACAAAGACACAAAGAUUUGUAUGUAAAGCAUCGUAUGGACAGCCACCUUAUUUCUCUUGGAGCAGAAAGGGACCUUAAAGAUGACAGACCAAACAUCAACUUCACAGAUGAUGACACAGAAGGUGAAUCUACUGAAAAGAGCUAAAGAAAGACAAAUCUCUUGAGGCAGAUGAAGGGAAUGCAAAUAUUCAAAGACCCUGCAGAAAAUCAGUCAACAAGAUGCUGUUUGUCUUGGUCUUAGUGUUUGCUAUCUGUUGGGCCCCGUUCCACAUUGACCGACUCUUCUUCAGCUUUGUGGAGGAGUGGAGUGAAU
rnacentral:lncRNA from 10 species